GUGGAGCAAUCCAUGAGUAAAGUGGCGACCGGGUGAGUAACACGUGACUACCUACCCUCGAGUGGGGAAUAACUCCGGGAAACCGGGGCUAAUACCGCAUAACAUCGAGAGAUCAAAGGAGAAAUUCGCUUGAGGAGGGGGUCGCGGCUGAUUAGCUAGUCGGUAGGGUAAGAGCCUACCAAGGCAGAGAUCGGUAGCCGGCCUGAGAGGGCACACGGCCACACUGGCACUGAAACACGGGCCAGACUCCUACGGGAGGCAGCAGUGGGGAAUCUUGCACAAUGGGGGAAACCCUGAUGCAGCGACGCCGCGUGAGCGAUGAAGCCCUUCGGGGUGUAAAGCUCUUUCGUCAGGGAAGAUAGUGACGGUACCUGGAGAAGCAGCUGCGGCUAACUACGUGCCAGCAGCCGCGGUAAUACGUAGGCAGCAAGCGUUGUUCGGAGUUACUGGGCGUAAAGGGUGUGUAGGCGGUUCUUUAAGUUUGCUGUGAAAUCUCCCGGCUUAACCGGGAGGGUGCGGUGAAUACUGAGGGACUAGAGUACGGGAGAGGAAAGUGGAAUUCCUGGUGUAGCGGUGAAAUGCGUAGAUAUCAGGAGGAACACCGGUGGUGUAGACGGCUUUCUGGACCGUAACUGACGCUGAGACACGAAAGCGUGGGUAGCAAACAGGAUUAGAUACCCCUGGUAGUCCACGCCCUAAACGAUGCA
rnacentral:rRNA from 1 species